rnacentral:lncRNA from 1 species
UAACAUUUAUUUUGCCACUUGCCACUUGCCACUUUAUAUUUUUUUUCAUAAAUGACCAAAACCAAUUUAUAGGUUUAUUCUAUUAUGUUAUUUUAGAUAAGUUGGAUGAAAAAAGUUAUUAAAAAAAUAAAUAUACCAUAUACCUAGUUUUCAGGAUGAUGCAAUUCAUGUUAUUAUUCAGUAGACAAGGUAAACUAAGGUUACAAAAAUGGUAUGUGGCUCAUCCAGACAAGCUCAAGAAAAAAA